ACCACUCUGAACACGGAAAUAUAGCACCACGCCAUCCUCGCCAUAUAUUGCAAACAUUUUCUGGGUUUUACUCGCGGGAUUUGUCAUGCCAUCUCGAUGUGUAGCGAUAUGAAUUACUCACAGGAAGACUCGAGACUCUAGGAGUGGUCCAAAAAAAAACUUCUCCUGCAAAGCCACGACAGCUUUGAAAACCUACAACAAUGCAACCUUGGUUUUCCAAAGACGAAGCCAAACAUAAAAAAUUAAGUGGCGGAAACCCUCAACACGAUGAAAAAAGCGUUGCAAGUCAGUUGCCACCCAGUUUCCCAAAAUCAAGAGAGAGUGGGUCGAGUCAUAUGAUGACCGAAGUGAUGCGGUGUCCAGCGAUGACGACUGAAGAGAUCCUAUGAGGCCUGCCAGAUGCUGAAUUUCUUCCGUCUGCGACAUCAGAUGACGAUGAUUUAGGAGAAAUAAAUGUAGCAAAUUUUGAUGACAUGAAAUCAUAAACUAGUCAUAUAUACAGUACACAUUUUUUAAAAGAAAAAUCAAGUUACCUUCAUAUUUUAAUGAUAAUGCAUUAUCUUUGUAUAGAGAACACUUCAUGCUACAGAAAAGAGUAAAUACAUAUUUCCCACUGCCAUUAUCAUUUUUCAAUGUUGCGCUAGUCCGUUGCUAUCCUAACUUUGUGUUGCUUACUAAAAUUAUGCUCUUUGAUGUGUGCCGUUGUGUGCUUGGUAUAACAUGUUGUGUCACAAUCUGACAACGAAAGCUAAUGCUGAUUCAACAUAAACCUGGUAUCAUUAUUGCGGCCUAUUGAAUAUUUUUUCAGAAUGUAAUAUAAUUACAAUAUUUUAUAUAACAAUAGAAUACA